GCCUUGUGCCUGAAAGGGCGACGGUGCAAGCCGGAGCGAGAAGUCAGCAGAGGCCGUAGUAGUCUUUUCUUUGACGAAGGGC
rnacentral:ncRNA from 3 species